GGGGCUGCAGCUCAGUGGUCUCGGAGCAUCUGCUUGGCAUUUAGAAGGUCCCAGGUUCCAUCCCCGGCAUCUCCA
rnacentral:tRNA from 1 species